GGCGUUUCAGAGUUUGGUUAGAUUUUAGCUUGGGAUGAUAUUAGGAGUUUAUUUAUUUAUAUCUGCUACCUGUUCAACUCUUGUUUGAAGGAUUUCCAGAAACCUUGAGUAUUUACUGUGAACUACUAGAAUCAAUCUUUUUUUAGAUAUUGAAUGGUCGGUAUCCCUGAGGCUUGGUAGCAUUUGAUUUUUCAAUUUUGGGGAAUUGAGUUUGUC
rnacentral:misc_RNA from 1 species